AGUGAACGCUGGCGGUAGGCCUAACACAUGCAAGUCGAACGGCAGCACAGAGGAGCUUGCUCCUUGGGUGGCGAGUGGCGGACGGGUGAGGAAUACAUCGGAAUCUACUCUGUCGUGGGGGAUAACGUAGGGAAACUUACGCUAAUACCGCAUACGACCUACGGGUGAAAGCAGGGGACCUUCGGGCCUUGCGCGAUUGAAUGAGCCGAUGUCGGAUUAGCUAGUUGGCGGGGUAAAGGCCCACCAAGGCGACGAUCCGUAGCUGGUCUGAGAGGAUGAUCAGCCACACUGGAACUGAGACACGGUCCAGACUCCUACGGGAGGCAGCAGUGGGGAAUAUUGGACAAUGGGCGCAAGCCUGAUCCAGCCAUACCGCGUGGGUGAAGAAGGCCUUCGGGUUGUAAAGCCCUUUUGUUGGGAAAGAAAUCCAGCUGGCUAAUACCCGGUUGGGAUGACGGUACCCAAAGAAUAAGCACCGGCUAACCCCGUGCCAGCAGCCGCCGUAA
rnacentral:rRNA from 1 species